rnacentral:rRNA from 1 species
CAAUAGCGUAUAUUUAAGUUGUUGCAGUUAAAAAGCUCGUAGUUGGAUUUCGGGUGGGACGCAGCGGUCUCGCAUUGCGUUUGUACUGCUGCAGCCCUCCUUCUUGCCGGGGGCGGCCUCUCGGACUUCACUGUCUGGGGGUCAGAAUCGGCGAUGUUACUUUGAGUAAAUUAGAGUGUCCAAAGCAAGCUUACGCUCUGAAUAUAAUAGCAUGGGAUAACACGACAGGACUCUGGCCUAUCGUGUUGGUCUAUAGGACCAGAGUAAUGAUUAAGAGGGACAGUCGGGGGCAUUCGUAUUCCGUUGUCAGAGGUGAAAUUCUUGGAUUUACGGAAGACGAACAUCUGCGAAAGCGUUUGCCAAGGAUGUUUNCAUUG